rnacentral:rRNA from 1 species
GAUGAACGCUGGCGGCGUGCUUAACACAUGCAAGUCGAACGGAAAGGCCCAAGCUUGCUUGGGUACUCGAGUGGCGAACGGGUGAGUAACACGUGGGUGAUCUACCCUGCACUUCGGGAUAAGCCUGGGAAACUGGGUCUAAUACCGGAUAGGACGAUGGUUUGGAUGCCAUUGUGGAAAGUUUUUUCGGUGUGGGAUGAGCUCGCGGCCUAUCAGCUUGUUGGUGGGGUAAUGGCCUACCAAGGCGUCGACGGGUAGCCGGCCUGAGAGGGUGUACGGCCACAUUGGGACUGAGAUACGGCCCAGACUCCUACGGGAGGCAGCAGUGGGGAAUAUUGCACAAUGGGCGCAAGCCUGAUGCAGCGACGCCGCGUGGGGGAUGACGGCCUUCGGGUUGUAAACUCCUUUCGCUAGGGACGAAGCGUUUUUGUGACGGUACCUGGAGAAGAAGCACCGGCUAACUACGUG